UACAGAGGGGGCGAGCGUUAUUCGGAAUUAUUGGGCGUAAAGGGCGCGUAGGCGGCUAAGUAAGUCUCGGGUGAAAUCCCUCGGCUCAACCGAGGAGCUGCCUUGGAAACUGCUUGGCUUGAGGCCGGGAGAGGAUGGUGGAAUUCCCAGUGUAGCGGUGAAAUGCGUAGAUAUUGGGAGGAACACCGGUGGCGAAGGCGGCCAUCUGGACCGGUCCUGACGCUGAGGCGCGAAAGCGUGGGGAGCAAACAGG
rnacentral:rRNA from 1 species